UCUAAAAAACAAAGAGCUUUCUCUCUCUCAGGCCCCCAAGGCCUGCCAAAGUUCGGCCGCCUCUGAUCAUCGGGCCACCGUCCGUCGGCCACCGUGCACGGUGGUCGGAGUUCCAAAAAUGGGCCUUUCCGGCCUAAAAUGAUCUCCUGAACCCCGAUCCGAGCCCCAAAAUACCAAAAACACUCUCUAAACUUAAGAAAAGGAUGAGGAAACCUUCGUUCCCCUCAGAUCUGGUGCCGAAGACGGAGAGUCACCCUCCGACGACGCGAUCACGGGAUGACUCCGGUAUUUGGCGAAGGCAGAGGCAUGGCUUGCCAUUUUGGUGUAAGGCCGACUGGCGAUGGCAGGCCUCGGGCGUGGUGUGCGCUGAAGGCGCACAUGGGAGCAGCGGCGCGAGGCAAGGGCUAGGGUUAGGUUUUUUACUGAAAUUGUUUUAAGUUUAGGCCAUGGUUGAUUUGGGUUUGGGCCCUUCGGGCCUGUUGUAAAUGAACUGGACCCUUUUUAGCUUAUUUUUAUAUUUUCCAGCGUGCCGGAAAAAUAGGCCUGUACAGUUAUCUUUUGAGAUCUUUAAUCUUGUUGCAUUUUAGAAUUGUUAGCAUAUACAAAAAGACUAUUAAAAAAAAGAAUAAAUUGCACAUAUGAAACUUGUACAUGCAAUAA